rnacentral:misc_RNA from 1 species
GUGAAUCAUCAAAUUUUUGAACGCAAAUUGCACUUUCUGGUAUUCCAGAAAGUAUGCCUGUUUGAGGGUCAGUUAAAUUAAAAUCGGGUUUGUUGCUGCUUUUCGGUGUUACGGGUCGGAAUUGAGUUGGCUUACCUUCGGGUAAGGGAACUUAAAUUUUGCAUUAUUUUUUUACGUAUGUAAUUUUCUUAUGUAAGGUUGAGAUAU